UUUUUUUUUUUUUUUUUCUGAAGGUGUACCUAGAUGACAUUUAAAGACGGCUUCAACAGUAUAAGAAAUAAAUACCCGGCAGAACAAGCUGUUAGGUGACUGUAAACUAGGAGGGGUUUUCUGACUGCAGUUCAAACUUAAUGAUUAAUUUGCAGUCUCAAUAUAAUGCAUUUUUAAUCAUACACUUGAAAGUAAUGAUGAAAUCUGCAGGACCAGCAAUAAGGAAGCAGCACAGCUAUACACAUAUAUUCUGAUAACGCAGCAUGCAGGCAGUAUCUUCCUUGGUUGAUAGCUACAACACGUACCAGCAAUGAAAAUGCUAUAGAUGUUUUCAGAGUGCUUCUUUCUCAGGGAGCUAGAAAAUGUUCAGCCUGUAGGAUAUACAUUGUAUUACUACUGACUUUCUCAUGCAAGGUUUGGUGCAGAUGAAAGUGUAUGACCUUCAAGUCAGCUUGUUUUCACCCUUGUUUUGUGAGCAAUGCCCAGGAGCUGCUGUCUGUGAAAUAAGUAUUAGUGUUAUACUGAUGAGAGAAGAGAUGAGUAAUGUGUGUUCUGUAGCCACUUCAUUUCAAGAAAUCCAGUUCAUUUAUAAAUAAUACAAUCUGAAUUUAUUUGUAGUUGCACAUACAUAUUCCCAGCAGCAGUGCUCAUAUAAACAACUCCUGGUAUCUCUGUCAGUGGCAUCUUGUCCAUCCCCUGGCUAAUCCUCAUUUAUGCUAGAACAACUGCAUAUGGAGUCUGUGCUAAAAAACAGAUGAAGGAACUCAUACAACUAAAAAAGCAUUUUUGUUUUUUCUGAUUUUUUCCUUAAUUUAUUUUUAGCCAAUAUUGUUUUCAGACAUGGCACUUGGCUCUUAGUAGCAUGGAAUCAGACUAUUUUCUAUUUCUCCUAAAGAGGGAGGUAGGACUGUAAUGUCCUCAUCAUUAUUACUACUGUGCAUAUAGAGAAUGUGAGUGUCAGAAUGCGAAGGGGUAAUAUUAAAAAUGCUAAACUCAUGCAUUCUCAAAAUGAUGAUAAUUAUGGAGUGUUCAUAGUCAUUACUUAAGUUAACAGUCUCUUUUAUUCAGAAGUAGGGGUUUUUGUAAUGGUGGUAGGUUAUUCUCUAUGAAUUUCUUACCUAAUUUAUAAGGAAAUUGAUGUAAUUGAAUGUAGGAUUGUGGAUUAUCAAUGAAGUAAUAAUUAUUAACAGUAUUAUGGAGGUAUAAAAUGUUCCCGUGGGUUUUGUUUUAUUUUUCUACCACACUAUAGUGAUAUUUAUUUUUUGUACCUUAAAAGUGCUGGAAAUGGGAAAACUUGUCAUGGAAGUUCUUGGGAAAUUUGUUCUGCUUUCAAUAGGAAAUAUUGAGAUGCUUACUCAACUGUCUCAGAAUUACAGUGCAGUUUAGGGAAUUAAUUAUUACACUGGCAGCACAGACUCUUUUCAGAGCUUCCUGCCAUGGUCCUGCUGUGUUGUACAAGUGCAGUCAACAACACAUUUCUGCUUGUUAUUCAAGCCCUUAGUCAUAGCCCAAAUAACUUGAUUUGACCUUGCUCAGCUGAAUCUGGCUUUAUUUGUCUCUGCAGUAGAUCACCAUUCUUCACAUUCCGGAUGGUGAAGGAAGGGGAUGAAUUAAUGCUCCUGCUAUGAAGACAGUGCUCCACGCUGCUUGCGUAGGCCGUGAGUCAUGGUUUCCUUGAUGGUCACUGGGGGAAGGGAUUCAUAAUGAAUGGCAGCACUGCCCCUCCCACCAUGUCUAGCUGUGACUAAGAACAUGGCAUUGCUCAUCCAGAGACACAGGUGACAACUCCAUAGAGUGAGGAGUGUUUGUGCACGUUAUUGUGUGCAACGGUAUGUACACUGAUGGGCAGGAUGGCAGAGGAGCUUUGUAUGAGAUAUUCCUCUGAGUAGAUAAAGCCAGUGAGCUGUGAAGACACAUAACCUUUUGGUGCUAGCUGUUUUGAUGAAUAACUAAUGCUAGUACUUCCAAGGAUAAUACUCUGUAUGGUUUGGAGAGAUGAUUUGUGAGUGUGUUUUGGAAAACACAGUGACACAUCUUGCUCACUUUGUGAGGCACGCUCUCACUUUGUGAUGGAUCUAAGUCAUACAAGAUUCUUGUCAGUUAUAUAUCUGGUUCAGAAUUUUAUGGGAAGGAGACACAGCAUGGUUGUGCAGAGAACAAAGGUCAGACAGAUGGGAAGUGAAUGCUACAGAACCAUGGUGAGUCAUUUUAAGUCACAAAUUUAAUUGAUUCAUUUAAGAAUAUCAUAAACACUCCUAUAACUUCCAUCACAAUGAUUAUGCAUGCUGCAAGAGUUGCUUAAUGAAGCUUACCUAAGUCUCAGCCAGCCCUACCAUUCUGCAACAAAAGAAAUAAUGGAGCAUUGUAAUAACAGAGCCUAAAGAUGUCUGUUCAGUAAACACAGAAAAUUUCUCUGAACAGAGAAAAUUUCUUUCCACUGGAAGGACAAUAUAGGUCUGCAUAUGUGCCUGCUUGCACAUAUGUGCAAAGGCUUUAAGGGGAGUGUAUUUGUUAACCAGAGAACAAAAAGUGUUUGUGCUUGUAAGGUGCAAGUAACUGAAAUUGCUGAAGCAUCAUUGGUGUUAUACAUUGAAGAAACGCUAAUUUGGCUAAAGUAUAAAGGUUUUGGAGGAAACAAGGGUACUUUUAUACAUACAUAAUGUCUCACAACAAUAACAAAAACAGGGCCAGAAGAAGAGAUCUGGGCCAGGAAACUGCACAAACUUUGUUAAUGGAUACGUGUCAGAACAAAAUAAUGGUAACAGAGGCCAGUUCUGACUACACUUAUUCCUCAGUAACUCCAUCAUACCUAAAAAGAUACCACAGAUGUGACCAAGCAAACAUUGUGGGUACAAGGAAAGAGUCAAAAAAAAUACUUGCGAACUUGAAAGCAAUGGAAUUGAUGGUGAUGAAGAUCAUUGAAUAAGGCUUUGAAGAAUUCUGUGUUACCUUGUGAACUGCUGGGUUAAGAGAGAAAGCAGUGCAUGCUGUAGCUGAUGCUGCUGCUUGCAGUGGGAGCACACCAGGGCCAGGAGGGAAUUACUCAUCCACUGCCCAGCUAGGUGACCAACUCUGUGUUUAGUGAAUGUGGAGCUAAGCAAUUUCUUCAGGUUGCUGACCUCUUCCAACCUGGGCUGCAGCAGCAGAAGGCAGUAGCAAGCUAAGGAGGGAUGCCCCCAACCUCAGCAAUAAUCAGCUUUCAAUGAGAUGAGAUAAUCAGCAUGCUUCCAGCCCAGCUGAGCUUGUGCAGACAAAGCAAUAGCUACAGAACUGUGAAGGAGGGCAGUAUAUAUUCUUGCUGGAGCCAGUCCCAGAUACUUGAGUUUCCAGUCCCAGUUUUAGUCUCAGGGGAGCACAAAGAAAGUUUCUGGUUAGUCUGUAUUUAAGAAAGUAAGAGAUAAAGGCUCCCGAUCCUCAUUUACUUAGCAGAUCAACAGAAUCCAUCAUUGUUGAUUUUUAAUGAGUUAACCAUGCUCAUAUUCAGUCUGUUUUUGCUGCAAUCAGAAAUCAACGGAUAACCUCCACCUCAGCUAAUUUAGUGCUCAUGAGUUCUUUGAGUUUUCCCUUUCUGUAUCCUCAGAGGAAAAUGAAAUGGGGAGGAGUGGCCAGCUUACCAUUAGAGCCACUGUCAGCUGCCAACUGGCAAAAUUAGAAAACAAUCCCUUUUUGCUGAUUAUGCAGAAAGCUUUGAUGGUCUACACGAGUCUGGCACUGUUGAGCAUGGCAGGAGCCACUAUACACAAAAGCAUCAACCAAACUGCUCCCUAGAGAUGUACAAUGUGAGUAAUAGUGGGUUAAUUUCUCUGGAAAUUUCUGAAAGAGAUGACUGGAUAUCAAUAAAUUACUCCAGAUUACCAAAAUGAAGUGCUGCAAAAUCCUCAAGGGAGUCAUACAAUAUGGUCAAGGAGACUCUUUCCUUCUAUUCUUAAAGGUGGCUUGCAAUACAUACAUAUAUAUACAAAGAUUUUGACAUUUAGUGGUACUUUAUGAAGGAAGAAGACCUAAAAGUUAUUUGAUUUGGUUUAGCCUUUCCCUAGCAGGCAAUAGUUCCUUUAAUUUAAGAACAUCCACUACUUUCUCUGUUUCUCUUUUCUUUACAGGGAAGUAUAGGUCAUGAAGUUGAUACUUCCUUAGGCUUUAAUUGAAACUGAGAUUAGUGCACUGGAGCUUGAGUCAUUUUUUAUGUCUUUGAGCUCUUUAUGUAGCUGUUGCUCAGAUGUUUGAGUCGCAUAGGUGUUAAUCAAAACAAAGGAUUUGAUUACACAGCUUCUGCAAUGGUUUAAUUAAAUUGAUGCAACCCCAAUUCAUUUUUGUUAGAUCAGCACAAAACCCCAUGCAUAGACAAGCCCAAAGCAUUUUAGAGUACCUAGUGAGAACUUAUUUGCUUUCACAUUUUGCUCCUAUUUUAUUUAAUUGUUUUUUCUGGUGGGAUGAGGCUUCUGGUUCACAACUGUCAUACCGGCUUCUGGGAGUCAGAUUGUAAGCAAGACCUGAAUAAAGAAAACAAGCUGCAAAACAAUCAUCAGUUUUAUCACUGCCCUUUUUACUUUUUGAACCAACAGAGCAUUGACCCUGUGGGAGAAUGCUGUGCUGAAAGCCAAAGAAAGCCUUUUAAGCAUAAGAUGCUGGGUCUGCUCUGGGACCAGGAAAUCAAUCUGCUCUACAGUGAUGCUUCCCACCAGCCCUGAAGAACAACAGCUAUCUCAAAAAGGAGACACCUGGCAGCAGGCAGCAGAAGCUGAUGCAGGAAAGCCAGGACAAGAAAUAGUACUGAGACUGCAUUUCAAAUUGGAACAUCCCAUCAACAUGGAUUCAAUUAAUUCCCACUGUUGUAAUGUCCCAGAUUGAAAAGCAAGAUGUAUUCUAUUUGCCAUCUGUAUGGCAGUUGUCUUGUGUUAAGUGGGCAUUUUUUCCUUAUCUCUUCCACAAUCAAUCCUCCCUCUGGGGAGACAUCUACUGAUAAUGGGCCAUUGAAUGUCACUGCAUGACUGAUAAGAACUAUAACAUCCCAUUGUAAAAUGCUCCGUCCAGGGGGGAGAAAAGCCAAGCAUUCCUACCUGCAUACAGUCCUGAGAUUCUGGCCCACCAACACAGCUUUUUCUGCACUGAGGAAAAGCUGCCUCUUCCACUGCGUCUUCAGAGGAAGACUGCACCCUUUUUCUACAGCAUCACUGCUCCAACAGAACCACACCCGACACUCCAAGAGGACUGCAGACACAAUACCAUUUAGACUUCUACCCACACCCUGUCCAACAGGGUGUCAGGUUGUAUUGACUCUGUCAGUGUUUUGGUUCACUGCAUUGUUUAUCUUUUUAUUUUCUUCCCUAAUAAAGAAUUGUUGUUCCUGCUCCCAUAUUUUGCCUGAGAGCCCCCCUUAAUUUCAAAUUUAUAACAAUUCAGAGGGAAGAGGUCUACAUUUUUACAUAUAAGGGGAGGCUCCUGCCUUCCUUAGCAGACACCUGUCUUUCCAAACCAAGAUAUGUUCCAUUCCAGGACUAAAAGGAACAGAAAAUGAAAGCCGUAGUUCUAUGACUUUAUUUUAUCCUUGGAUAAGACAGUGGUUACACUUCUUCAGCAUGGGAAGUGGAAGUGGUCUGUUUUAAAAUUGUAAGGGCUAUCAUGGAAAGAGAUGACCUUGCACGUUUGUUCUAGGGAUACCCUACAUCUGCAUUGCUCCAUCCUCUUUGUCUUUGUGUCAUUUUUUUCUAUUUUAUUGUCCAAGUGGAAAAAGAUAAAUAUGGCAGUUUGGCUAAGAUUUCCAGACCUCUGGUCUGGUUAACAUUACAUGGAUAUGUUAACCUUCCAUGGAUAUGUAGGCCUUCCCAUUUAUUUCACAGAUGGUAUAUACUUGCACAAUAACUCAGUUGCAUCUCAGAUACCUCUCAGUGUGUCAGAUUCAGUGUGGUGUGUCACACUGUGCGCCUUCACACACUCCUGACUGUGAAAUACUAGAUAGAAAUACAGCAAUGUCAAUAACUUCAUGCAUGUGAGGAUUGUGCAUAAGCAAAGCACAUAGUGCUUUGUUUCAUAGUGAGGUUUCAUAGUGAGGCAGAGACCAGAAUGUCUCUCCAUAAACACAGUAAUUUUGUGUGCUCUGUAGUGCAACCCAAAGCCAUUAUAAGCAGUAUGGCAGUCCAUACUCCUGUCUCACUUCUUGUGUUAGUAGUGACUGGUGAUAACAAAGGAAUUAAAGAUAGGACCAAUGAAAAUAUUGUUACACAAAGGAAGUAACUGCUUUGUGCAGGACAUGUAAUGUGCCUGAUGUAAGAUUAGUAUGCACUUACGCUCCUUUCUGAGGUUUGUGAUUUGGAAAUAUUAUUUUGUUUUUCACAGACAAAAUAUUUUGCUGAUAACUCUGUUCCAUAAGACUGUAGUAUAAUUCAAGUUGGAAGUAGCCUCGUGUCUCUUGUACCCAUAAGUUAAGCCCAAGGUUACUCUGGACUUUAUCCAGUUAGGUCUUGAAAAGCCCUAAGGAUGGUGACUGCUCUGUCUCUCUGCUAAGCUGUUUUUCUGUCUAACAUAGGGAAAUGUUUUUCCUUAUAUUCACCUUGAAUAUAUCUUGCCUCAGUUUAUGCCCAUUGUCUGUCAUCGUCCCACCAUUCGCUGCAGUGAAGAUCCUAGAGCCACCUCCUUGCAUAUACUGGCAGUCUGCAUCAAAAGCUGUUUCUUCUCCAGGCUGAUCACCACAUCCUCUACUCUCUUGCAACCAGACAAGUGCUCCAAAGCCUAGAACAUCUUGGUAGCCCUUUACUGGAUAUGCUUCAGUAUGAUAGUGGAUUUAUUGCAUUGGGGAAUCCAAAUCUGUACACAAUAUUUUAGAUGUUGUCUGACAAAUACUGAGUAAAGGGAGAUUAUCACUUUCCUGUCCAUGCUUCUGCUGAAACAGCACAAGAUGCUGUUGGUUUUCCCUACUGCCAGGCAGACUGCUAGCUCAUCCUGACUGGCUCCAUGAUUCCCAGGUCCUUCUUAACUAGCUGCUCUGCAGCUAGCUAGUACCCAGCCUGUAUCAUUGCCAGGAUUAUACCUUCUCAGGUGCAGGACUUUCCUUUUCCCCUUGCUAAAUUUCACAAGGUUAUGGUUGACCUAUUCCUCCAGCUUAUCUAGGUCAGUCUGGUUGGCAGCUCUGCCCUGAAGUGCAUCAACUGGUUCCCCCUGUUCAGUGUCAUCUGCAAACUUGAUGAGAGUUUACUCCAUAUCCCCUCCGGGUUACAAUAAAGGUGUUGAAAGAUACCAAGAAUGAUGUUAGAUUAUUAGAAUGUUGUAUAUGUUUUCAUACAUAAGAAAGCCUCUUGAAGGAGAGCUUACUGCCAGUUAGACCCAUCCACUUCCUGUAACCUCAGGACAUUAUGAACAAACGUGUGAGUCGUGUGGCAGGCACAGUCCAAACCCUAGCAGGCAGUUGUGCCAUCUGCACAAAAGGUGCGCAGCCGCAGCAUUGUGCUCAGCCUCAGUGCUGCCAAGACCAUCUAAUUGGCUGAAGAGGUUCUUGUCCCUAUGGAUUAGAGUCCCUGCAAACCAAUCCUUCCUGCAAGUCAGCUAUAUCACAGGUUGAGAGUGUCGUCAAUGAACGUAACCAUAAAUGGAUAUAGAUGUGCAUAGUGUAGAGGGUAUAAAGUUCUCUGCCUAAGGGAAUGAGACAUAACCUCAGGGAAGACAGUUCUUGGGUCUAUACAAUCAUGAAUAAGUCAAUUAUGUUAUUUUACAAUUUAAUUUCUUGCUUCUAAACUACAUAAACAUCUUUUGAGGAUAACUAACAUUUUACAAAUAUUGGUGAUUGGAUUUGGGUAGCAGUAGUUUUCCCUGACUCUGAGUGAGAGCAGGAGCCUGUGCAUCAUAUCCCAUACAUAAAUAUACUGUGGGUUAUGCAUGGUCCUCAGAGGGAGGUUUCACAUGGGGAAAAGGAAAACUGAGGAAAGGUGAACACGAAUAUUAGAAGCCUUAUCAGUAUUUACAUGAAAGAUUUAAAGUACUGCUAUACAAAUGAAUGAUUAGCAAUACAAUAUUUGGGAAAUUCCUCUUAAAAAUCAUAAAAGAACUUCAUAACAAAACUGUUGUAUGUCCAAAUUUUACAAUGCAGAGGCCAAUAAUCUAUAUCAUCCUUAAACUAGGGUGUUUGUGAUAAAAAAUUCCAUAUCCAAUUAGUAUAAGAACAUUUUAAAUAGGAAAGUUGAUUGUUGUUUGUUUAAAAAUCACAUUCUCCUUUCGCUGUAAAGACCAACUGCUCAUAAUCAGAACUACACCUGCUUUUAACUUUUAUUUCUCAUUAAGUGUAGAAACAAAGCAAAAUAAACUCCUAGUGUUGAGCCUGACCCCAUGCCCUUGGAAAACAAAAGAAGAACAAUACUCCUGGUAACUUCGGAGGGCAUUGCAUCCAGACCAUUGUUUUUAGAAGUCAAAAACUAACACAGAUUGUUCAUUUCCUGGCAUUGGCAUCAGCAGUAAAUAGGAUUGCCUCACAAAACCUUGCUCAGUCCUCUGGGACAAAGGAUAAGAGCAUGUUACAUUGCUCAACAAUGCUCUCCAACCAGCUACACAGCAGCACUGUUUAAUUUCAAUAGCUCAUUACCUCCUUGUCAGUAAAAUGAGUCCAUUGAGUUGAAACUACGGGAAGAAGAGUGAAAGCCAGCAAGAAGGGUGGGUCUGAAAUACCAUUGUCCAAUAUACCCUGCUUCCCAAUGAAUCCUGCAGGAGAUAGAGGCUAACACUAUGGAAAAGCAGCAAGGUGAUAAAUUAUUCAUCUGAGGGAACAUAGUGGCUGCUGGAUGGCCACAGUCUUCUUGGUACCACUUUAGGACAGGAAGUAUCCUUCUGUCUUGUAGCCUCCACAGGGUAGGCAUCUAUACUAUUGCCAGUUGUCAAGACUCCCUCCAGAGUGAAUGAACAGAAAUAGGCCUUCCUACUCUAUCUCCUAAAUUGAGGUGAUUCAUUUAAUCUAUUUCAGACAUCGGAAAUGGGAUGAGAGCAGCUCUGCCCUCAGAAGGCCUGUUCCCUUGACUAUAAAGGGAGCCUAGACAGUUAACUCAGAGACAGACACCUACAAUGCAGAAUCUAUAUUUGGACAGAUGAAUCCUGCUGCUGGUGUUUACUAUAAAUAGAGAAGUGCACAGUAUAUUUAAAGCAGAAAAUCCAUUGGGUACUGCUGAGAUUAUUGUUAAUGCUACUUAAACUAGUUAAUUAAAUAACUAGUCAAUCACCCCCUAGUGUAGAGAAGACCAACCAUACAGCUACUGAAGUCAAUAGCAAAAUUCUUGCAGGCAACAGCAAGCUCUGAUCUGUGUCUAUGUAAACCCAUGCAUUAAAGCAAGAGGAAAACCCAGCCUUAUUUCUAGAUCCAGUCCUUUUCAUUUUUUUAUGUUAUGGAAAUUUGAAUAUUUCCGUCUGCUGGUUGUAGUUGAAGGAAGCAGCUGCAAAGCUCAGCUGAACAACUACAGCUCUCCCUGUGAAUAUUCCUAGUUUGCCCAAUUGCAAGAUCUGAGAUAUAAAUGUAAGCCUGUUUCAAGGGUGUUCACUGCCCCCAUAAUUUAAGACUGAAUUGCCAUUUAAGACCCAUUACUAAUAAAUUUGGGGUAAUGUCUUUACAAAAUUAAAUAGCUGGCAAUGACAAGUUUCUUUAUCAUAGGAGUGACAGCCCUAAAUGUCAUCAAUGUAAAUCAGAUCAAAGUAAUGAUUCUGGUACCUAAACUGCUAAAAAUGCAGCACUGGAUACUGUAAAAUCAACUAUAGCUAUAUUGACUAUAGUACAAAUGUUUUCAUAUACUCACUCAUAAAUCAGUUUGAACUGGAUUGUGGAAACAGCAUGAUAGACAAGGGAUUAAUUUAUGUGGAUAUUUUUAUAAUUAAAGGGAAGAAAACCUUUCAUAAGACUGACUUCCAGGUGGCUAACUGCCAUCUCUGAGAGAAUGUGUUAUGCAACACUGGACAUAUUUACCAUGGAGAAAGAGUCACCAGCCUAAAAGGCUGGUUUGAUUGGUUUGAACUUUAUAGUGGUUGGUGAAAAUUUUUAAGUCUUUCUUAAAAUGUAAACAGAUUUAGCCAUGACAGCUAGACCACAAUUCUUUGUUUCCCCUCUGCCUUAUUAGGGGACUAAUUUCUCUAGUGGAACCUCACAUUCCAGUAAGUAUCCUGGUUGAAAUGAAACAAAAUUUGUUUCUUACUUGUUGACUUCUCCCUACCUGUGUGAUAAUUUGAGACUGCAUGCCUACUGUAAUUGUGAAAUCAUCUCUGAGAAAUGAGUAGGAGUUCAUGAAGUGCUGCAAUUAGCCCUAAGGGUUAAAAGUGGCAGAGGGGUUAAGAAAUUGGAAAAACAAUCAUACAUUUAGAGAGGUCUUCCCCUAUGGAUCAAGGGUGAUAUGAUGAUAUGGCAGGUAAGAAAAGAGUAAAGUAGACCCAAAAAUUAGUGGACCCAAACAGGUGAAUGAAGAAGAGAAAGGAUGGGUUUUUUGUCUCACAUCACCUCACUGUUGAACCUUCUAAAAGCAAAAUAGCAGGAACCAUUAUGGUGGAAGAGGUUUCAGAAGAACUUCCUGAGGAAAGAACACUGGUUAAUUUUUUCCCCCACUGAGCAAUUUCCACCAGACGCAGGCUAUCAAACAAGACUGUUGGCUCUUCCCAAUAAAAAAGCUAAAAAAAAAAAAAAAAAAAAAA
ensembl:lncRNA